rnacentral:siRNA from 1 species
AACGGCCCAUCAGAAUGACUGCUC